GAUGAACGCUGGCGGCGUGCCUCAAACAUGCAAGUCGAGCGGGGCUAUGUAAUACCGCAAGGUAGAACAUAGCCUAGCGGCGAACGGGUGAGUAACACGUGGGUAACCUGCCUGGAAGACAGGGAUAACGAUUCGAAAGGGUCGCUAAUACCUGAUAAUAUCCUUUCAUCGCAUGGUGAUAGGAAGAAAGGGGAAACCCGCUUUCAGAUGGGCCCGCGUCCCAUCAGCUAGUUGGUAAGGUAAAGGCUUACCAAGGCGACGACGGGUAGCCGGUCUGAGAGGAUGUACGGCCACACUGGGACUGAGAUACGGCCCAGACUCCUACGGGAGGCAGCAGUUGGGAAUCUUAGGCAAUGGACGAAAGUCUGACCUAGCGACGCCGCGUGAGGGAAGAAGGCCUUCGGGUUGUAAACCUCUGUCAUGGGGAAGAAGUAAGUGACGGUACCCCAAGAGGAAGCCCCUGCUAACUACGUG
rnacentral:rRNA from 1 species